AACAGGAAAACUGUCUUGCUCCAUCAGUAGCCGGCUGCCUGUAGCUUAGUUUACCUGUCAGUUUAGCUCAGCUUGGCCAAUAACGCAAAUGCUGAAGCUGGUCCAUGUCACGGCUGUCCUAUUAUGACUGGCCACCCGU